CAAAGAAAGAAGUGAGUUAGAAAUCAAUUUUCCAUAUUAGCAUCUGGAAUGGUGUAAGGGGGGUAGAUAGAGGAGGUAAUAAAAAUGUAGUUUUUUAGUAUUUAGCCAAUGAUGAUAAAAUGUCAAUUUAAAUGGCUACUGAAAUGAUCUCAACAGCUGUAUUUACUCAAGCUUAAAAUCAUGGACAUUUUCCACACUGUAUUUAUUUCUAAUGGAAUACUAAGCACUUCCCUCCAAAAUAGCAAACCAAAGAAAACAAUUGCUUGUCUUUAUCAGUCUCUGACAGUGCAGAAUACCUUGUAAUCCUCAAGAUAAUCUUAGUUACAUUCAUUUCUGGUUAAAAACACAUGGCUCUUUUUUCCUACAUUUUUUUCCUAUUUUUCAAAAUGGAAGGUGCAGUUUGUUUCUCAUUAGGGUUAGUGACAUCUGUACAACAAAAGUGUUUAUGUAGUUUUGAAAAUGUGAGGGUAAGAGUUUAAGGAGCAAGGGAAAUUUUGCAUGUAAACCUUGUUAGCAGUUCUUUAGUCAGCAUCAUUUUAACUACCUGUACCAGUAAUUCCUCCAGGAAUGAUGAACAGGCCAGAGACUCUUCCUGGGUCUGCAAGUUACAGAGACUUUAAUUACGAGAAUCAAUUCUAAUAGGCAAUCUUUUUUCUCUCUCUAUUUGUGUCACAGUGAGUGUGUUACACUGCAUAUUCACCUUCACUGUUUUCUUCAUAGCUCGUUCCCCAGAGACCAGUGUGAGAGAGUAUGAUGACAUCUGUGAUUGUCAGAAUGGAGGCACCUGUGACCCUCUGACUGGGCGAUGCAAGUGCCCCCCAGGGGUUCAUGGGAAAACCUGUGGAAACGAAACCAAUCAAGAGACCACAUUUUCUACAUGGGCUGAUAAAACACAAAAAAAGAAACUGCUUGUACAAUCCCAGGAGCUGAAGGCAGAGAGUCAUGAAGAUGUAAGUCUUCAGGGAUUGCCAGAAAUCAUGGAGAGUUUAUUAGAUUCUUACAGAUUGUAGAACUGGGGAGAUAGAAAAACCAAGUUUAGUUUGCUCUCUGAGAGGUGCAGGAAGGCUCAUGCUCACACCCUAGUUAUUUAUCCCCCAAUUUUUAUUCAUUUAUUCAAAAUAUAUGUAUUAAGUGUUGCAAGACACUGUGCCAGGCUUUAUGAUAUGUUAAGAGAACAAAAAUGAAACAGACCCUGGUCCUUCCUCAUGGAACUCACAGUCUUGUUCAAAGCAGACAUAAGUUACACAUGUGGGUAGGUAUUUCAAGUUAAAUCUUAAUGUGUGCUUGGAGGUUGAACCAUGAGGGCCCAUGCAGACUGUGUGAGCCAGGGAAUGGCUUGUAGAGAAGUUAGCCUUAAGCAGAAGUGUAUAAAAUGAGGAAACAUGAAGCAAGGCAAGAGAGAAGGAAAAGCACUGCAGACUCGGGGGGCCACGUGUGACCGGACUCUGAAGUGAGAAAGAACAAGGUGAUUUAGGGGUGCCCGAGAGGGAUCUGCUGAUAGAAUCAAAGUCAGGAAGAGCUACUGCAACAUAAGGUCAGC
rnacentral:lncRNA from 1 species